GAUAAUGCAUGUUGAAAUACAGAAGUCGUCUUUGUGGCUCUGCGACGGUGGCCAGAAUGGAGGCUGCUGAGCUGGCCCACCCUGGGAGCCCUCUCAGAGACAUCGCGCCGGUUUGUGACGUUUCCAGCCACCCGUGCCCACGCUAUUCCCCUCAAAUUGUACUGAAAGGGCAGAAAUACUGUAGCAGCAACAUUUGGGUAAUAUAAGAACUGUGACAAAACCCCGUCCGCUUCUGUUCUCCAGCGUCAGCAAAGCAAUAGUAGUUGAAAGGAGAAGAAAAAACUAUCCCAUUUUAACUAUAGAGAAUACAUAGAUACUACAGCUGUGCAUGAGUAUUCCUUCUGAUAUGGAGCAGGA